rnacentral:rRNA from 1 species
UGAGGAAUAUUGGUCAAUGGACGAGAGUCUGAACCAGCCAAGUAGCGUGCAGGAUGACGGCCCUAUGGGUUGUAAACUGCUUCUGUUUGGGAAUAAUCGACAUUACGUGUAAUGUUUUGCAUGUACCAUUCGAAUAAGGACCGGCUAAUUCCGUGCCAGCAGCCGCGGUAAUACGGAAGGUCCAGGCGUUAUCCGGAUUUAUUGGGUUUAAAGGGAGUGUAGGCGGUUGGUUAAGCGUGUUGUGAAAUGUAGAUGCUCAACAUCUGACUUGCAGCGCGAACUGGCUGGCUUGAGUACACACAACGUAGGCGGAAUUCAUGGUGUAGCGGUGAAAUGCUUAGAUAUCAUGACGAACUCCGAUUGCGAAGGCAGCGUACGGGAGCGCAACUGACGCUAAAGCUCGAAGGGGCGGGUAUCGAACAGG